UCCAAUAACGUCUCCAGGCAGUCCACCUUCGGCAAGAGCAGAGCCGGGCUGUUGAAGAAGGUGCAGUAGCUCGCCAUGCUCUGCGAGGCGGACCUUGGCGUCCUCAUAUUCGACAGCGCCGGCAAGCAGAUGGACUACUGCAGCCCCUCCACCAUGUCCAAUAGUUCUCUUUCGUCGAUCUUCUCCACCCUAUCUCAUGGCAUGUGCGUACAUCUCGAUUCAUCCCGGUUGCAAACUUAUUUUGGAUAUUCUGUAAUCCCCUGUCUAGCUAGGUGCCCCUCUGUGGCUCUGACGUGUAUACCUUUUGAUUGUUCUGUUUUUAGUACAAGAGUACAUGUGUGUGAUGAACUGAUAGAUUCAUUCCGGAAGAUGAACUUAUUAAAGUCACUUAAAAUCCUUACAAUCAUCUAA
rnacentral:rRNA from 1 species